UUGAGGGCAUCGUUGACAGCGUUGCCGAUGGCGGCGGGAGGAGCAAUCGCACCGCCUUCACCAAGACCUUUGACACCGAACUCCGUGUAAGGGGACAGCGUUUCCAUAUGCUCGACCUGCGGAGCGGGAACCUCGGUUGGCCCAGGCAGCAGAUAAUCCGCGAAGGUCGAUGCCAGCGGUUGUGCUGAUGGAUCGAACGGCAUCUCUUCAUAGAGAGCCGUGCCGAUACCUUGUGCGAGGCCGCCGUAGAUCUGGCCGUCGACGACCAUCGGAUUGAUCAGCUUGCCGCCGUCCUCGACGAUCACGUAGUCGAGAAUUUCGAUGUCGCCCAUUUCCGGGUCCACUGCAACGACGGCGAUAUGUGCGGCGUAGCUAAAGGUGCCGGAGUCGCGCACCGGCUUGUAGCCAAUCGUGGUUUCAAGGCCGCGCGGAUCGACCGAGGCAGGCAGAUCCUGAGGGCGCCGAUACCAGGUGUGAGCGACUUCCUUCACAG
rnacentral:misc_RNA from 1 species